rnacentral:lncRNA from 1 species
UUAAACACCAGGGUGCGCCUGGAUUUCCAAUCGGCUCUCCUUUGGAUAACUUAACGCCGAUCUGAUGCAGCAUAUGAUAGGCUGAUCCCAGUAGAUGCUUUCCAAGAGGAAUAGAAGCUUCUAUCGAUAGUGCCUCGGCCAGAGCCUGUGUAUUAGAGGAUGAACCAGCUGCUCUCCCACAAAAGAGGUGCUUCUCCAGCCACAUCAUCAGAAAGGCCGCAUGCUCCCUCUCUACGACUGUCCCGGUCCUCUUGUUGCUCUUAAUAAACCCUUUCC